AGAAUACGGAACGUCAUUUGAUAUUGAUUCAGCAUUUAUGGAAAUGGCAAACCAUUUGAACGAAGGAUUACAAAAUAUCACAGACUAUAUGAAAAAUGAAACAAAGGAAAUCGAAAAAUAUAUGAACAAAAAGUUAAAAG